rnacentral:misc_RNA from 1 species
CUGCCACGGUCACACUUCAUUCAUAGUUCGGAAAUUUGUCGGUUGCUGGAAUUUGUAGACGAAUUUAUAUUUAAUUUUUAAGCACUUGAUAUCGGGAAUCCGGCUGCCACAAUGGGUUCCCUGUUCCGCAGCGAGGAAAUGGCGCUGUGCCAGCUGUUCCUGCAGAGCGAGGCGGCCUACGCCUGCGUCUCCGAGUUGGGAGAACUGGGAUUGGUCCAGUUCCGAGAUCUCAAUCCCGAUGUCAACGCCUUCCAGAGGAAGUUCGUCAACGAGGUGCGCCGCUGCGAUGAGAUGGAGCGCAAGCUGCGUUACCUGGAGAAGGAGAUCAAGAAGGACGGCAUACCGAUGUUGGACACCGGGGAGAGUCCCGAGGCCCCGCAGCCCCGCGAGAUGAUCGACCUGGAGGCCACCUUUGAGAAACUGGAGAACGAGUUGAGGGAGGUGAAUCAGAACGCCGAGGCCCUGAAGCGCAAUUUUCUGGAGCUGACCGAGCUGAAGCACAUUUUGCGCAAAACCCAGGUGUUCUUCGAUGAGUCGGUGCCCACGGUGUACAAGUCGAGUAGCGCAUACUCAUCCAGCAAAUAUCGGCGAUAUCCGCAGAUGGCCGACAACCAAAACGAGGACGAGCAGGCGCAGCUGCUGGGCGAGGAGGGUGUCCGGGCCAGCCAGCCGGGCCAGAAUUUGAAGCUUGGCUUCGUGGCUGGCGUCAUCCUGAGGGAGCGACUGCCGGCCUUCGAGCGGAUGCUGUGGCGCGCCUGCAGGGGCAACGUCUUCCUGCGCCAGGCGAUGAUCGAGACGCCGCUGGAGGAUCCCACCAAUGGCGACCAGGUGCACAAGUCCGUGUUCAUCAUCUUCUUCCAGGGUGACCAGCUGAAGACGCGCGUCAAGAAGAUCUGCGAGGGCUUCCGGGCCACGCUCUAUCCUUGCCCUGAAGCUCCAGCCGAUCGGCGAGAGAUGGCCAUGGGUGUGAUGACCCGCAUCGAAGAUCUGAACACCGUGCUCGGCCAAACGCAGGACCAUCGCCAUCGUGUGCUAGUCGCUGCGGCAAAGAACCUUAAGAACUGGUUCGUCAAGGUGCGCAAGAUCAAGGCAAUCUACCAUACGCUGAAUCUCUUCAAUCUGGACGUGACCCAGAAGUGUCUGAUCGCCGAGUGCUGGGUGCCGCUGCUGGACAUUGAAACCAUCCAGCUGGCCUUGCGCCGUGGAACCGAAAGAUCGGGAUCGUCGGUGCCGCCAAUUCUCAACCGGAUGCAGACGUUCGAGAAUCCGCCGACCUACAAUCGAACGAACAAGUUUACGAAGGCCUUCCAGGCAUUGAUCGAUGCCUAUGGCGUGGCCAGCUAUCGGGAAAUGAAUCCGGCACCCUACACGAUCAUCACCUUUCCCUUCCUGUUCGCCGUGAUGUUUGGAGACUUGGGCCACGGAGCUAUCAUGGCGCUCUUUGGUCUCUGGAUGAUUCGAAAGGAGAAGGGACUGGCGGCUCAGAAGACGGACAACGAGAUUUGGAACAUUUUCUUCGGCGGACGGUACAUCAUCUUCCUCAUGGGCGUCUUCUCCAUGUACACGGGUCUUAUAUACAACGAUAUAUUCUCAAAGUCGCUGAAUAUCUUUGGAUCGCAUUGGCAUUUGUCCUACAACAAGUCCACCGUGAUGGAAAACAAGUUCCUGCAGUUGAGCCCGAAAGGCGACUACGAGGGCGCUCCGUAUCCGUUCGGCAUGGACCCCAUUUGGCAGGUGGCGGGAGCCAAUAAGAUCAUCUUCCACAACGCUUACAAAAUGAAGAUUUCGAUCAUUUUCGGUGUUAUCCACAUGAUCUUCGGUGUGGUGAUGAGCUGGCACAACCAUACGUAUUUCCGGAACAGGAUCUCCCUGCUAUACGAGUUCAUUCCCCAGCUGGUCUUUUUGCUGCUGCUGUUCUUCUACAUGGUUUUGUUGAUGUUCAUCAAGUGGAUCAAAUUUGCCGCCACCAAUAAUAAGCCCUACUCCGAAGCCUGCGCGCCUUCAAUCCUGAUCACCUUUAUCGACAUGGUGCUUUUUAACACGCCCAAGCCACCUCCGGAGAAAUGUGAAACCUAUAUGUUCAUGGGCCAGCACUUCAUCCAGGUGUUAUUUGUCCUGGUUGCCGUCGGCUGCAUUCCCGUAAUGUUGCUAGCCAAGCCGCUGCUCAUCAUGCAGGCCCGCAAGCAGGCGAACGAAGAGGUACAGCCCAUUGCAGGAGCCACUUCAGAUGCAGAAGCCGGCGGCGUGUCCAAUGGCGGCUCACACGGUGGUGGCGGUGGCCAUGAGGAGGAAGAGGAGCUCUCCGAGAUCUUCAUUCACCAGACAUCCACACCAUCGAGUACGUCCUAGGUUCGGUAUCCCACACCGCUUCCUAUCUCCGAUUGUGGGCGCUUUCCUUGGCCCAUGCCCAGUUGGCUGAGGUGCUGUGGACCAUGGUCCUCUCGAUUGGCUUGAAGCAGGAAGGGCCGGUGGGUGGCAUCGUAUUGACCUGCGUGUUUGCCU